CGACCACUAGCACGUGGUUUUUACUUAUAGACUUUCACAUGUAAUAUGCUUACGCGGAAGGGGCUCACCGACAAUGGUGACUUGGAAGACUGUUUGGAUCAGCAAUCUUCAAAAAUUUAUUGCUGCCAAGGAUGCUAUGCAAGGUAUGGAGAGCUAUCCCAGAACGUGGAUGUUGUGCUUCUAAAGCUACCAGACAAUUUGUACUAUCACUGAGGUAUAUUAUAUCCUAUUCACUCGAUCGUG
rnacentral:lncRNA from 1 species